rnacentral:rRNA from 1 species
GACGAACGCUGGCGGCGUGCUUAACACAUGCAAGUCGGACGGAAAGGCCCUGCUUGCAGGGUACUCGAGUGGCGAACGGGUGAGUAACACGUGGGUGAUCUGCCCUGCACUUCGGGAUAAGCCUGGGAAACUGGGUCUAAUACCGGAUAGGAGCCAUUUUUAGUGUGAUGGUUGGAAAGUUUUUUCGGUGUAGGAUGAGCUCGCGGCCUAUCAGCUUGUUGGUGGGGUAAUGGCCUACCAAGGCGGCGACGGGUAGCCGGCCUGAGAGGGUGGACGGCCACAUUGGGACUGAGAUACGGCCCAGACUCCUACGGGAGGCAGCAGUGGGGAAUAUUGCACAAUGGGCGCAAGCCUGAUGCAGCGACGCCGCGUGGGGGAUGACGGCCUUCGGGUUGUAAACUCCUUUCGCUAGGGACGAAGCUUUUUGUGACGGUACCUAGAUAAGAAGCACCGGCUAACUACGUG